GCCAAGGCCGUGCGCUGGGGCGUGGUAAUCCGUAGUGUGGGAGAGUUGGCCGGAAUUAUUGGGCGUAAAGGGCUCGUUGGCGGUUUGUCGCGUCGGGAGUGAAAACAUCGGGCUUAACUCGGUGCUUGCUUUCGAUACGGGCAGACUUGAGGCAUGCAGGGGAGAACGGAAUUCCUGGUGUAGCGGUGAAAUGCGCAGAUAUCAGGAGGAACACCGGUGGCGAAGGCGGUUCUCUGGGCAUGUUCUGACGCUGAGGAGCGAAAGUGUGGGGAGCGAACAGGAUUAGAUACCCGAGUAGUC
rnacentral:rRNA from 1 species